CUGAAAGAUGAUCAGGUUGAUAGGUCUGAGGUGGAAGCGUGGUGACACGUGCAGCUGACAGAUACUAAUCGAUCGAGGACUUAACCAA
rnacentral:rRNA from 1 species